ACGCUCGACACCUACGGGGGCAGCAGUGGGGAAUAUUGCACAAUGGGGGGAACCCUGAUGCAGCGACGCCGCGUGAGUGAAGAAGUACUUCGGUAUGUAAAGCUCUAUCAGCAGGGAAGAAAAUGACGGUACCUGACUAAGAAGCCCCGGCUAACUACGUGCCAGCAGCCGCGGUAAUCUGAGCGGGCUGGCGAAGGC
rnacentral:rRNA from 1 species